AUUGAACGCUGGCGGCAGGCCUAACACAUGCAAGUCGAGCGGAUGAUUGGAGCUUGCUCCUGGAUUCAGCGGCGGACGGGUGAGUAAUGCCUAGGAAUCUGCCCGGUAGUGGGGGAUAACGUCCGGAAACGGGCGCUAAUACCGCAUACGUCCUGAGGGAGAAAGUGGGUGAUCCUCGGACUUCACGCUAUCAGAUGAGCCUAGGUCGGAUUAGCUAGUUGGUGGGGUAAAGGCCUACCAAGGCGACGAUCCGUAACUGGCCUGAGAGGAUGAUCAGUCACACUGGAACUGAGACACGGUCCAGACUCCUACGGGAGGCAGCAGUGGGGAAUAUUGGACAAUGGGCGAAAGCCUGAUCCAGCAAUGCCGCGUGUGUGAAGAAGGUCUUCGGAUUGUAAAGCUCUUUAAGUUGGGAGGAAGGACAGUAAUUUAAUACCUUGCUGUUUUGACGGUACCAACAGAAUAAGCACCGGCUAACUACGUG
rnacentral:rRNA from 1 species